rnacentral:lncRNA from 1 species
AAAAAAAAAACUAUAACGUAUGCGCACGUUACCAAAAAAAAUAUAACGUAUGCGCACGUUAUCAAAAAACUACUACAAGGAUAAUUAGAAGAAAAUUGAAAAAGACACCAAAAUAGUCGUAAAUUUACAACAUAAUUCAAUCAAGCUUUGUCAAUAUUCCCAUGUAAGAGUCGCAAUGGCCAAGAUAACCAACAUCGUGUCUCAAAAAGUGCAAAAUUUCUCACACUGUAGAUGAAAGUCCCAAAGUUUCCAGCUAUCAUCAAACAUAUAGCCUCCACCUCCGGCGAACAACGGUGAAACAGAGAAACACAAAAACUAACCUAGCAUCAUUCUCAAAGCAUUCACUAUUCACAUGAAAGAAACUCACCGUGCCACUAAUAGACUAAAAAUAAUAAAGAAAGAGAAAUCAUAACUGUCGCAGCCAUAGAAGCCUAAACCAGAACCCAAACAAAAUCACAUAAAUUUCCAAUCGGCGAGGUUAGCGCCCACAAUCCCGACAAAGGACACAAUCCUAAACCAUCGCCAUCGUCGUGUUGGAGUCGCGACGACCAAAGAAAUCACGAUCACGUCCCGAAGGGCCACAUACUUCUCACACUCCACAUCUCUUAAACAAGAGAUGCAAAUUCCGCCGGACUAUCAUAAAACACACAGCCUACUCCCAACAAGCUAGAAAUAGAGAGAAACACCAAUCCACGAUCGAAAACCACGAUUCCCCUAACCAAAUUAGAAUAACAAACGCCGCCGAAUUAAGAAGCCUUAUCCAGAACCGGCUCCGUGGAAUUCAUCCUCAGCCCCUCGCUACGUUCGACCAAUCGCAGAACCGAAAAAGAACAUGAAAAAAAGAAACAACCCAUCAAAGCAAAGUCCGGUCCGGUGAGAAACACGCGAAGAACCCCCCCGCAAAUAAUCAGACCCCGCCGCCACCAGCAGCCGCCGAGAGCCACACGACGAAGAACCCCAAAAAAAGAAGGAAGAAACAUUCGAAACCUAGAGCACGAAAUCCGCAGAAAUUCACAGACUUGACGAAUACCCACCUCAGGAAACGCGAAAUCAGAGAAGAAGGGCCCAGCCACCGAAUCGAAGUCGCGAGGAAAAAGAGCCGAGGCGCACGCGAUCAGCUCGAGAGACGCGGAAUCGGGGGAAUCCUUAUCUACCCAGGGAGAGGGGGAGGGAGCGGGAGGAGCGCAGAGAUUUGCCUCUUCUUCGCCGUCUUGACCUUCGAAUUUCCCUUGCGAUUUUCGGAGGGGUGGAGAAGGCGAUGAUUGGUGACGAUGGGGAAGCAAGGGAAGGGACAAGGAAAGGGGGGGACCGGUUCUUUUCUUCUAGGGUUCCGAAACCGGUUCCGGUUCCGCAACCAGUUCUGGUUCCUAGAAAAAAGGAACUGGGAACCGGGAACCGGAACCGGUCCCCUUGGAACCGGGAACCGAACCGGACCCUCCUCCGGUUCGGUUCCGGUUCCCGGGUAACCCGGGAACCGCGCUCACCCCUAAGGCCGCG